rnacentral:rRNA from 1 species
AUUGAACGCUGGCGGCAGGCUUAACACAUGCAAGUCGAGCGGAGAUGAGGUGCUUGCACCUUAUCUUAGCGGCGGACGGGUGAGUAAUGCUUAGGAAUCUGCCUAUUAGUUGGGGACAACAUUCCGAAAGGAAUGCUAAUACCUCAUAAGUCCUACGGGAGAAAGCAGGGGAUCUUCGGACCUUGCGCUAAUAGAUGAGCCUAAGUCGGAUUAGCUAGUUGGUGGGUUAAAGGCCUACCAAGGCGACGAUCUGUCGCGGGUAUGAGAGGAUGAUCCGCCACACUCGGACUGAGACACGGCCCAGACUCCUACGGGAGGCAGCAUGGGGGAAUAUUGGACAAUGGGGGGAAGCCUGAUCCAGCCAUGCCGCGUGUGUGAAGAAGGCCUUAUGGUUGUAAAGCACUUUAAGCGAGGAGGAGGCUACUAAGACUAAUACUCUUGGAUAGUGGACGUUACUCGCAGAAUAAGCACCGGCUAACUCUGUGCCAGCCGCCGCGGUAACAC